rnacentral:lncRNA from 14 species
GCAGUGCUCACACUGAAAAACACCUGUGGAAACUCAGGAAGAGCCACCUUGUCACCAGAUUUGGAUGACUAGCCAAACACAGGUGAUGCCACCAGCCUGACAGAGCAUGAAACAGCCCUACUGUUGUUCAACUGUCCCUUCACUUCUGUUUCCUCAUGAAUCCAAGUACUACCUCCACAAGGGCAUCUUGUCCACAGCAGUUAAAAGGGCCACGGUUUCAAAAGGUCUUAAAAAACAUAGCAACAAUACAUUCCAACACUUCCCUCUGAUUAUGGGAAAGCACCCUGCCCUCCAAGCCUAG